rnacentral:lncRNA from 1 species
CCAGCAACGGUAGACCUAAAAAAAACAAAGACACGGCCUCCUCCCCAAAAAGCUAAGAGUUGUAGAGAGCAAAAAUGAGUAGCAGCUUCAUGUAACGCGCAGCUGCUGCUAUUGACCUUAUUCCCUCAAGCCAACACCGCCUUCUUCAUUAACAAAGGGCCAAAAACUCUAUUAUUAGCACCAUUCUCGUUACUAAACCCACCUCAGAAACAACCCCUUUCUCUCUCCCUAAAAGACCAUGAAAACUAGUCACAAACUUUAGCCUUAGACCAUGAAUAAAUGCAGCAGCUCAACCACCAAAAUACUGCGCCUUUCUCCUUUGAAAAACAGCCCAAAAAUCCAUGAAAACUGACCAAAAACUCCAGAAAAAUGCCCCUCAAACUUCAGCUGAAAAAGCUGUCGGAAAGCAGCUCAAAAACGUCCCCUUUUUCAAUCAAAAACUCAGCGUUGUUAACCUGCAAAACCCAGCAGAAACGAUUCAAAACAGCCCCCAUUUCGGACAUAAAAUAGCAGCGUCAAAAUUGAGUUUCGAGUUCGACGGCGAAGUUUUCCGGUUGAAAUCUUGUUCGCGUUUCCGGUUCCGAUGCCAUGGUCCGAUUUCAAUUUUGUUAGCUCAUUGGUCACUGCCAUUGUACAAAGCUUGGCUUGGAGUUUCUCUUUGUUAAUAUAUUGAAGAUGGUUUUUUCACCGGUGAAGGUGCGGUUUUGUUUUACUUUACUAAUUUUUUUUAAAUGAAUAAAAUGCAUCUUCUAUAGAUUUGCAGUUUAUAACUUGCAUAAAACUAGCCUGCUGUUUAGUCUCUUAAUGUUUUAGCAAGAAUUUGAUAAAGGUCUAUUUAGUUGAAGUCUUAUUUGUUCUCAUGUCUAGUGUGAGUUUCUAACUUUCUGUUACUAUGCAUUAUUAGAAAUAAAUAGCUGUAGUAUUUUAAUAUUGACCACAACUGGAUAUGGCUACAAAAUAUCUAAGGGACUAAAUGUGACAGAAUUGGUUAUAUUACAAAGUUGGCGACAAGAUGACAAUCGGGCCAAGAACGACUCUGCCCAUGCCCAAUUGUCUCAUUUCAGUUUUGGUCCUUUCUCAAUAAGUUCACUAGUAAGCCCAUUUCUUAUAACUUAAUAAAUUGUCCAACUCCUUCUAACUUAGCAAGAUAAUUGAACUUGUUAAUGUAUCAAGAGCUAAUCAUACACAUCUUAUUCACAGUCAUUGCUCCAUAGUUCUCAUGCCAAAUAAAACUCCUAAGCCCAUGACCCUCACAAAAAUUAGCUAGCUCUUAUAGAAAAAUCGAGGUGUGUCAUUAGUUGAAUUUUCCAUGGCCCUCGCAAAAGGUGUAGUUGCUUUAGGCGCGUAAUUUAAAUUACUUUCCUAAAUUUGGGUGUGCAUUUAUAUGACCCAAAUCCAAAUCUCAACAAUGUUAGAUAAAAUGUGUCAUGGACCGCGGGAGCAUUUAUGUGACGUGGUUCAAGACGCGUUUUAGAUGACGUUGAAUCUUUCCUAAAAAAACAAUUAAAUAAAAGCGGUUAAUAAUUUAAAAUUAUACCAUAUGCUAAAACAUGUAUUAACAUUAGAUAAUAGGUCAAUUAUAACAGUUGAGCGACCGUUAUAGAACCACGGAACUCAGGAAUGCCUAACACCUUCUCCCGGGUUAAUAGAAUUCCUUAUCUAGAAUUUCUGGUACGCAGGCUUUAAGAAAUAAAAUUUCCUCGAUUUGGGAUUUUAAAAUAAACUGGUGACUUGGGACACCAUAAAUUAUCCCAAGUGGAGACUCUUAUUUUUAAAUAAAUAAUCCCGUUUCGAUUGUUACUUUAAUUGGAAAAACUCCCUCAUAUACCCUUCUCGGAGGUGUACGUAAAAAAGGAGGUGUGACAGCAUAGGUCCUUAUAUUUAGACCCUCAAUUUCUUUGCCUCCUUCAACACCCUGGACUCGGCUUGUGAGCUUCUUGAGCUCCUCUGUCAUGUUCUUAAUGAGCAGGUCCUUCUCGGUGGAUUUUGGAGUGUAUGAGAUUGGCUGAGUAGAGUGGGGUAAGGUUUCCACAUAUAUGGGAUUGUUUUGGUGGGUGUCGGCAGUUGGAGUGUAGUGGUGAACAUUAGUUGAAUUUUGCGGAUCAGGGAUAGGUUGUAAGGUAUUCUGAGGAGUAUGGUAAGUGGUUUGUGGGUAUUGAGUAGGAAGAUGUUGAUGCUGAGGAGGAGUGGGUAUUGAUGGAGGAUUAGGAUUUUGGGGAGUUGUUGCAUAUUGAUAGGGCACGGGAGGAUUUUGUGGACAUUGGUUUGGUGUGUUCUGAGGAGGUGAUGGGAUUUGAGCAUUUUAUUGGUUAAUGCCUGGGCCGUUUAGGGUGAGGGAGAGGUUUGCCAAGUUGCGGAUCUGCUCAAGUUCCCCUUGCAAUUCCAGUAUUUUCUGUUCUAACCGUAGGACCAAAUUAUUCUGGGCCGGAGUACUUCGACCGUCUGAAGUUUCAACAUUUUCCACAUGCGCAACAUUUUCUUUCCGGAUACCACUCAUAUCAUCCAUCUUAGUUUUUCCCUUGCCUUUUGGAUUACUUGGAGGAGGAGGGCCUCUAGAUCUAGUGAUAUGCUGACGAUGCCAGUAUGUGCGAACAAACCUUAGGGGAUGAGAAUAAUCAAAAUAAAGAAAAGUGUAAAAAGGUAAACAAGUCAGUAAAGAUUCUGAAAAGCAUUUGCAGCAUUUAAACACAUAUUGCGAGAAUGUAAAUUCACGUCCUAAUUUGGAGAACCUCAUUAUGCUCGAGGUAAACCCUGAGACAAGUAGAUUUGGAGAGAUUUAAUGACGAUAAAUGCCUCAUUUCAUUAAUGUAAUAAAUAAGACGAACCUAAACAUGACAAUAAAUAAAUGAGUUACUAAUGGUAUCAGCCUUAUUACAUUCGAAUUCAAAAAUAGAUAAACCUAAUAUACUUGGUCCUAGAGGGACCUUCCCCAUAUUUGACCCUCUUGGCUCUGUCAAUUAAAUUCCCCAGGUCGUGCAUGUCCAGUAGCAGGUAUGCCCUUGCUAGGUGUCCUCCCUCAUUGCUUUUUGCAUUCUGUCAGUCUACGACUCUUUUCCUCAUCUUCCCUUCCAGUUCCAUUAGACCAUGCUCCAAAUAUUCCAACUAUUCUGUCGGCCUUGUAGCCAUUUCCCUCCAAAUGUCUAACUUGUGUUAUUCAAAAUGCAUGGCUUCAGACCCAAGGACUCUUUUGCGUAGCCUCUUAUACUUUACUUGUGCUUCAACAACCUUAUCUAUGAUUGUAUUUCCUUGACCAAUCCCUAGCUCGACUAUUCCUGCUAUGUUAUCUUCUAAUUAUGAUGGAUAGAAGUACGCAUGAUAUGCGUGAUAUCGAUCUGGCUCGAUGGUAUCCUUUUCUACGACAAUCUUCAAAUGCCACAUGUGUUGGGCCUUACAUAUGUAUGGCAUGGUGUCAUCCUGAAAAUCUGCUCUGUAAUGACUCAUUUUGGAGACUCGUGGUAUGACUUGUUUUCUACCAGCUUGUCUUAUGACCCUGAUAGGAACAUAGGGAUGUAUUCCCCUUAACCUAAUCAGUACCAAAUGCGGAACAUCCCUGGAUCUGAUGAUGAAUUCAUUAGUAGGGAACCACUCGAACAUCCAGUGAACCUGGUCCUCGGUCAAAUUGCUGAAGAACUAUGCCCAUUCUGUAGCAUUCACUGGCUGUGCAAAUCUGUCUGGGAUAAAGGUCAUUCUUUUGGGAUGGUGGAAAGCUAUGUGAUCAUUCCAUGGUCCCCUUGGAUACUCUUGGUAGUAUUGGCCCCUCUGAAGAUGUUCUAACAACCAAAUCUGUAGUAGCAAGUUACAACCCUCAAAAUGUUUGAACCCUUUCUUGCAACAAGGAAGGUAGAUUUUCAAGAACCUUUUUUACAUGAUUUUUGUCGCUUGGUGAAACGUUUUCCCAUCAAUAUAACAAUAAAAGUGGUAUACUUUGGACCAUGCUGAACCUGGGGACUUCAUACCUCAUUUUCUGCAAAAAUAAACAGAGUUAGACCCUUGCCCCCUCCAGAUUCGACUACUUACACAUUAACGAUUAGCAUGUUGACAUUUAUCUCUCCAAAUGAUGCACAUAUCGUGGUUGCGCCCGUUAGAAUUAUGGAAAUCCUAGUGGACUUUGGACAAGGUUUUCUUAGAGGGUUAUUAUGCCGACAAAAUAUUAACCCAUGCUAGGUUUGAUCAUGAUGCAUGUACAGUUAUUACCAGAGUAAGGUUUCUAUAGAAGUCUAGACUACUACCCUCAAACGGACAACUUAAGAGGGAAAGGCGCGGAACCGUCGACUGCACCACUGAUCGACUAGUUUUAUCGCAAAUAAGUCUUUCCAAAUUUAAAGGGUGAUUUUAGGAAGAGCGCGGACAUUCAUCAAGCACCGCUAUAGUAUUAGUACGCAAGAGUGGAAUAUGAUGUUGAGCAUGCAGUUAUGCAAAAGAAAAUAACAUGUUGCCAAGUAUUUGCACGAUGAAUAAUGAUAAAAUGCGGUAUUUAAUAAUUGUAAAGACAUUAAGAAAGAAAAACAAAGAGACAAGUCAGUCUGCAUAGCAAAAAAAUGAUGAAACGGGGAAGAGAAAUCAUAAAUGAAUGAAGAUAGACAAAUAAAUUCACAUAGAGUGGGAAGGGAAAAUGGGUGUACAAGUAUUAACGGAAUAAUAAAGACAUGCUUAAAGACUAAUUCACAAACAAGUUUGUUAUGGUAAGAGCCUAAAGAUGUCCCCAGCAGAGUCGCCAUGCUAUCACGCCCCCUUUUUCUUGCGAAAUCGGGUUUCGACAUUUCUGGGACAACUCCUUUUGAGAGGGUAGGGAAUUGGGAUUAAAAGAGUCGCCACCUAAUGGAUUAAGGUGUGUUAGGGCACCUGGAGCAAAUAACUCAUGUUACUAGUUUACAUCACCAGAGAUCGAGUAAGGGCUCGAAAUUACCUUGAGGGGAAGGUGUUAGGCACCCCUCGAGGUCCAUAAUGGUGGGUCCUGACCAAACUUAAAUUAAGCAAAUUAGUCUAACGGGAAGAAAGCAAUCUGGACAAAUAAAAUACGCAGUUUAUUUAAAACAGGAAUAAGGGGGAGGGGGAGAGUCCUAAGUUUUUUAGCCUAUAGGAUCAUCCCGUGUAAUACUUUGUAACUAUCUCAAGUCGGGGUGUCACUCAUAGUACUUAGCGCACGGACUAUCACCUCCUGCUAUCCGAUUACUAUCUUUAAGUUGUUACCUAAAGCAUUCUAAUUGAUUAUAGUUCGAUCCCUAUGCGUGCACUACCCAUCCCUUACCUAUGGCCCUAGAGGUAUUAUGACCUCUAUUUGGGAUAGUUCUAGACUAAGUCUAGGUUGCUCGAAAAUGUAAAAGACUAAGCGACAAACAAAAACAAUUAGGACUUUCAGACAACAAGCAAAUAUAGGCUCAUAUUGACCUCCACAUAUAAAUAACAAAGCACGCAAUUGAUACAACAAACCUUAUUAACCUUAAGACCCUAUAGGCAAGAUGUCUAUACAAGAAAAUAGAGUGCAGAUGCAAUUUUAUUAAGGCAAGUGUUAAAACCUGUUGUUUGCCUAUUGAUUUUUAUUCAGUAUGAUGUGGGCAGUUCAGGCAGUAAUACAUCAUAAUUAUAGGUCUAGAAUUAUUAAAUCCUACAGGUAUAUUGCCUAAGUGAUUGCAAAGAGCGAUUGUAUUCAGAAUCAAUUGAUAGAAUUCUAUAGGCAUGAUUUCUACGAGUUUGAUGAUUACAGACCUAUAGACAUGGUUUCUAGGUGUAGCACCGACUUUAACUUACAGAGAUUGGUUAUAUUCCCUUUUAAUCCUAGAGGCAUGAUCUCUAACUGAUAUACUUACUUAAGUCCUAUAGGCAUGAUUUCUACGUUUGAAACUGGUUUUAGUCCUAUAGGCAUGAGAUCUACUACUGAAUUAAUUUAAAUCCUAUAGGCAUAAUUUCUAACUAAUUUUUCAUCCUAUAGGCAUGAUUUCCACGAGCUGUGUAUGGGUAGAAAUUAUGCAGAUUGCCAGAAAACCGAUCAAAUCAAACAUCGAGGUCCUAUAGGCAUGAUUGCUUAUGCACAUUUGUUGGAUUAUCUAUCCUAUGAGCAGGAUUUCUAAUAUGUAUUUUAAUGUCAACCCUAUAGGCAAGACUUCUAAUAUGCAAACGCAAAAUUAACACCAUCAAUGAAAAUCCUAUAGGCAGGAUUUCUAAACACAAUAUAGAACUCACACAGUUUUUACCAAAUGAACGAAUUGACAGCAUAACUAAAUCCUAUAGGCAGGAUCUUUUCCCAGUUUUAACAAAAAAAAUAAGAAAACCCUCCAGCUUUACUAAAUAUUCCCAGAAUCUGUUAUUACAAAGUUAUUAUAGACCAGAAUAUCAAAAGAAUUACACAAUAGUAAUGAGACACUAUAGGGAGCCUUCAUUAUGCCCAAAUAAACCUGGGGACUAGGCCUUCCAACCAUAACAACUUUGAGGCACAUCAUAGUGAUCCAUCUAUAGCACAUUAGAACCAGGGUUUCCAUGUGUCAAAGUUCCCAAGGGCCUCAAGGACCCAGAGCAAUGCUCACACCAGAACCAUACAUUCAGAAGAUAGCUCAUAAAAGAUUGGAAAUCCAAUGUGUCAGAGUUCACAGGAGUCUCAUGUGGACCCUGAGCAUUGCUCAUACUGGAGUGGUUGAGAACCUAAGGGACUAAGAGUGGGGGUUUUAAAAUUAUUACAUAAAAGAGGUAGGGGCAGGAUUUUUAAAAAAAAAUUUGCUUUCAGAAGAAAUAGGGUUCAGAACACAGCGUUGCAAGCUGAAAUACACCAAACAAAGUAAUGCUCAAACACAUAAUUCAAGUAAGUUAAGAGUCUAGUUAAGCUAAACAUUUAUGCUAGCACCUAGGACAAUCAUUGUUUAAUCAUAGAAGCAAUUAGGCAAACACUUAAGUUGGUCAGACGUAUGAAUUAUGUAACCAUACGAAAAUCUGUAGAGUUAGGAUUAAUGAACCAAUUUCAUGCUAAUAGUAUUAUAGAGAUACUAAGUUCAGAACAAGUGUAGGAUUAGCAAAUAGUGCAUGAAACAGAUUUAGACAUUAGGCUAACUUAUAAGAGGAUUCAUAUUAUUCAAACUAAUUAAGCUUAAACUAACAGUGUCACUCAUAGGACCAGAUGAGAUCAUAGAAUCACAUAAAACGACAGAAUCAUACUUGGAAUUUAAACAUGCUAGUCGAGCAAAGCAGAGAGAAUGAAAUUGCAAAGGAUUAGGGCAUACCAGUUAAGUAAGAAAGCAAGUAAAUAUUAUACAGCAGUUAAGUUCCAGAAUAACUUGGCUUUGACUUUCAGCCGGCCAAAACCAGAGACAAUUAGCACAGAAUUAGAAUAAGAGAGCUUAAGUUUUUAGUGAGAGUAUGAGAGUUCGAGUCUGUAUUCAAGGGAUGGAGGGGGAAAGGGUUUAAAUAGUGUUCAAUUAGGCAGACCAAUAAGGGAAUAAAUCAUAUAUACAAAAAUAAAGAAUGAAAAAUAAUUCUAGAAUCAAUCAAUUAGCAGGACAUAACAGCGUGUAAUCAGGCAAGUACUACUUAGACUAAGGUAAGUAUUUUACAGAAUCAAUCAACAGUCAAAUACAGGAUCGACUAAGGUAAGGAAAUAAUGAGAAUAUGGUAAAUCGAGCAAAAUAAGGAAACAUCAGUACCAUACAAGAAAGGAAAGAUUAGAAUCUUAGCAAAAGAUUUCAGAACCCUAAUUUUUGGGUAAACCAUAGAAUCAGCGGAGUAAAAUAAGGUAGACAAGAGAAUAUUCAAAACGCAAACAAUAAAAUCAGCACAAUAUCACAUAAUGAACCUAGACAGGAGUUUUUAAAGAAAACAUAAGAUUUGAACCAAAUCUGGUUCGAUUAAAAAAGCUUAAAACCCUAGUUUAGGUAAGUAAAAAAUUUAAUGGAAAAUAGGCAGAUUUAUGAGUAACAAGGUGAAUACAGACAAAAAAAAAUAUUAAAAACAAACUAAACUUGAACCAAAACUUGUUCGAAUCAAAAAACUGAAAGCCCUAAUUAAUUUUUAAAAGAAAAAAUUAUUAAGAAAUAACUAUGAAAAUCAUAAUAAAGGGUGUAUAUAGAUAGAUUUACGGAAACAUUACAGAGAAUAUUCAAAAAAAAGAAACUGUAACAGAUCUUGAAAGAUCUGAACCCUAGUUUUAGGGUAAUUGAAGAAUCGGGAGAAUCUUAGAGAUUCAUACCAUAAGAGACGAAGAAAUAACAUAAAAGGAAAGAAAAUGAAAGUUCGAACCAGAUUCGGUUCAAAGCGAAGGAGAUCGGCUAGCCAUAGUAGGCAAGCUAUUAGGUUAUGCCAUAAUCGAGUAGCCAGUAGCGAGAUGAGAUUGAUAAGGUAAGAAAAUCACCAAGAGAUUCCAUAUCUGAUUGGAAUCAAAGGGGAAUUUGAGGGGAUUUAGGUGACGGCGACUAGGGUUUGACAGAGAGAAAAGGAGAGGUUGAGAGAGUUCAAGGGCAGCGGGUAAAGGGAAAUGGGGUUAGGGUUUCUAGGUUGGUAUAAUUAAAAGGGGCUGGGGUAUUGGGAGCCGUUGAUCUUCUGAGAUUAACGACUGGGAUUUUAAAGAGGAAAUGGGUCGGGUUAAUGGGUAUUGGGCUGAUGUAUUGGGCUGGGAUAAUGGGUAGUGUAAGAAAAGGGCUAGAUUUUAAAUACUCAAUUAAAUCAGUAAAUAAUUUAUAAAAAAUAAUUAGUAAAUAACAAAAAAUAUAAUUUGUGCAUGAAAAUUAUUUUAAAUAAUUACUUAACAUUAUAAAAUAUAUAAAAUUAUUUUUAUAUAAAUAAUGUAAUUAUGUAUAUAGAUAUGGGCUAUUAUUGCAAAAUAUGCAAUUUUAGCCUAAGGAUGCAAAAAAUAAAUAUAUAAAAAAUAUUUAAAGCUUAUUAAGGAUGUAAAUGAUGAAAAAUUAGAUAAUAAAUUAUUAUAAAAUUAUUUGUGAUCCAAUUAAUAAUUAUUCAUAUAAAAAAAUGCAUGAAUAAAUUGAUUAGAAGCCUUUAAAAAUUAUAGAAAAUUAUGAAAAGAAUACUCGGUAAUGCUCAAGCACUAUUUUGAAGAUAUAUAUAUGCAUAUUUAAAAUAUGUGAGGGAAAAUUGGGUAUCAACAACCGUACCCCCUCCUUUGGUCGAAGACAUUCAUGAUUUGGUUAGUCGGGUCCUCCCUCAUACAAUGGGGAUUCGCUAAUGGCCAGCCUUCCUCAAGAAGUUAGGGCCUGCGCUUUCUGUGACCGGUGAGUUUACCCAUUUAAAUCUAUAUUGUCGUGGCCUUAUGGUCGCUUGCUUCUUUUUAUUUUGUGAAGACCGACCUUUUAACCUUCUUUUUUUUUAUCCCGGGGAUCCUCGAGAAGGCCCGAGGUCCCCUCCUCAUGCAUUUUGCAAGAGGAACACUCCAACUUCGUAGUCCGCUCCUACUGUGACUAUGGCCAGGCCUUCCCGACUGUCCACUUCCAUUUUGCCUCCUAUUGAGGCUAGGUCGGCUCGGUCAUCGACUGCAUUAACACCAGAAACACCAGCCUCUCCCUUGCUUCAUUUAAUAGAUGAAGAGUCAUCACCGAGCGAGGAGGGUUUGAUCUUUCGUAAAAGGAGGUCGGUAGGCGUCGAUGAAAGGACAAUCCGAGCCGUAGAUUCAACAAAGGGUGAUUGCGAGUCGGCCACCAUCAUGCUUGAAGAUGAUGUAGAUCUGUCAUCUGAAGUCCCGCCAUUAGCGGGGGCCGUGGAAGGCAUACCCUUCCACAAUGUCGUGGUUAGAGUUGGUGAGCCACAUGUGGAAGUUUCGGGUACCGUGCUUUGAGAUAAGCCUUCGUACUCAUGGACGGUUGACGUUCCUACCUUGUUCACCGACGGGAGAGAUAAGGGUGUUGCUUAGGACGGCUACGAAAUGGGCUCUGAUCUUUACGCCGAUAAGGUACAGAUACUGAGUGAGGGGUUUACUCGGGUUGAAUUAAGGUUAGAAGGGUCCACGCGGACCAUUGUGAUCCUUAUGGAUCGGGACUUACUAGUGAUCAAGAUUCAGAGACUCUGCAAAGUGAUCCUAACAGAAGAGCAUGGUCCGUGUCCAAAUUGCACGGCCGUGGUUGACGCUAAUGCGAAGGAGACAACUUUUACGCUCCCAGCAAAAUCAAGUCCAAACCAAGCACAAAAGAGAAGAAAGAUCUGCGUCUGCUUUUGCACGGCCACGGAAGUCCAAGCGCUGAUGUGCUCAGUAUUGCGCUGACAGCAAAACCUCCGUAGGGGUAUUUUUGUCCAGUAAUUUUAGUUAUGUAUAAAUAGAUCUUUUUCACAUUUUAGGUCAUCUUUUGUAUCAGGGAGCUCGUGAACAGCCGUACUUUACCACUUUGAGUAAUUUUAGAGUAGCUUUAGCUUAUAUUCUUAGUUUUAAUUCUUGUAAUCAAUUUUUAUGGCUUAUUUUUCAUUUUCAUCUUUGAUUUAUACCUUGAUUAUGAGUAGCUAAACCCCAUUAGCUAUAGUUGUGACCCAACCCUAGUGUGGGCAUUUAAUGGGUCUUCAAUUUUAGGGCUUAAUUGUUUAUGGAUUAGUGAUAUUUAGCUUGAUCCAUGCUUUAAUUGUAGAAUUGGUGGUUGCAAACAUUGAUUCGCGCCUUUAUGACUUAGAUUCUUCUNNNNNNNNNNNNNNNNNNNNNNNNNNNNNNNNNNNNNNNNNNNNNNNNNNNNNNNNNNNNNNNNNNNNNNNNNNNNNNNNNNNNNNNNNNNNNNNNNNNNNNNNNNNNNNNNNNNNNNNNNNNNNNNNNNNNNNNNNNNNNNNNNNNNNNNNNNNNNNNNNNNNNNNNNNNNNNNNNNNNNNNNNNNNNNNNNNNNNNNNNNNNNNNNNNNNNNNNNNNNNNNNNNNNNNNNNNNNNNNNNNNNNNNNNNNNNNNNNNNNNNNNNNNNNNNNNNNNNNNNNNNNNNNNNNNNNNNNNNNNNNNNNNNNNNNNNNNNNNNNNNNNNNNNNNNCAAAGUCACUCAAACUACCAAGAGGUAUAGAGUGAGUAACUAUGUGUAAAGGUUAUAUCAUGACCCCAAAUAUAACAAGCUUGUCCUAAAUUUUAGAUCCUAUUAGAUACUCGCCUUGGUGUAACUCACUUCCCUAGUGCUUUUUGUCAAUUGAGAAAACUUUUACAAAAAUAUUGUACUUAGUUUAUUUUCAGCUAUCAAUAGUAUUAAACAUAGAUUAGAAACACAUCCAAACAUGGUUAGAAGUGCAAUUAAAAGCAACACGCAUAGUUAGAUUAGAUAGAAACCUAACUCCCAACCAACAUUAACUCCCUGUGGAAAUCGAUCCCGACUUCCAGGUAAAAGCUGCAUCAACCACUCCUCGCCAUUAUAUAGUGGUGUAGGGUUAGAGCCGAUCACCUUUUUGGCGCCGUUGCCGGGGAGUUAAAUGGUUUUGGCUAUCUAUCUGACUAGUUGUGUGUCUUGGUUUUCUUUCCUUCUGUUUUACUAACUUGUGUGAGUUAAUCGAUUCAGGUACAAAAUGGCAAAUAAUAAUCUUAUCGGAAAUGUUCUC